rnacentral:rRNA from 1 species
AAAUUGAAGAGUUUGAUCAUGGCUCAGAUUGAACGCUGGCGGCAGGCCUAACACAUGCAAGUCGAACGGUAACAGAAAGCAGCUUGCUGCUUUGCUGACGAGUGGCGGACGGGUGAGUAAUGUCUGGGAAACUGCCUGAUGGAGGGGGAUAACUACUGGAAACGGUAGCUAAUACCGCAUAACGUCGCAAGACCAAAGAGGGGGACCUUCGGGCCUCUUGCCAUCGGAUGUGCCCAGAUGGGAUUAGCUUGUUGGUGGGGUAACGGCUCACCAAGGCGACGAUCCCUAGCUGGUCUGAGAGGAUGACCAGCCACACUGGAACUGAGACACGGUCCAGACUCCUACGGGAGGC